GACGAACGCUGGCGGCGUGCCUAAUACAUGCAAGUCGAGCGAAGUUUUUCUGGUGCUUGCACUAGAAAAACUUAGCGGCGAACGGGUGAGUAACACGUAAAGAACCUGCCUCAUAGACUGGGACAACUAUUGGAAACGAAAGCUAAUACCGGAUAACAGUAUUUCUCGCAUGAGAGAUAUUUAAAAGUUGGUUAUGCUAACACUAUGAGAUGGCUUUGCGGUGCAUUAGCUAGUUGGUGGGGUAAAGGCCCACCAAGGCGACGAUGCAUAGCCGACCUGAGAGGGUGAUCGGCCACACUGGGACUGAGACACGGCCCAGACUCCUACGGGAGGCAGCAGUAGGGAAUCUUCCGCAAUGGGCGAAAGCCUGACGGAGCAACGCCGCGUGAGUGAAGAAGGAUUUCGGUUCGUAAAGCUCUGUUGUUAGGGAAGAAUGGAUAUGUAGUAACUAUACAUGUAAGAGACGGUACCUAACCAGAAAGCCACGGCUAACUACGUG
rnacentral:rRNA from 1 species